rnacentral:rRNA from 1 species
UAACGAAUCUUCCGCAAUGGGCGCAAGCCUGAUCCAGCCAUGCCGCGUGAGUGACGAAGGCCUUAGGGUUGUAAAGCUCUUUUGGCGGGGAAGAUAAUGACGGUACCCGCAGAAUAAGCUCCGGCUAACUUCGUGCCAGCAGCCGCGGUAAUACGAAGGGAGCUAGCGUUGUUCGGAAUCACUGGGCGUAAAGCGCACGUAGGUGGGCAGUUAAGUCAGGGGUGAAAGCCCGAGGCUCAACCUCGGAAUUGCCUCUGAUACUGGCUGUCUAGAGUUCGAGAGAGGUGAGUGGAAUUCCUAGUGUAGAGGUGAAAUUCGUAGAUAUUAGGAAGAACACCGGUGGCGAAGGCGGCUCACUGGCUCGAUACUGACACUGAGGUGCGAAAGCGUGGGGAGCAAACAGGAUUAGAUACCCGCGUAGUCCCUGAGCGGGCUGGCAAGGCGCAU